AGGACGAACGCUGGCGGCGUGCUUAACACAUGCAAGUCGAACGGAAAGGCCCGCUUGCGGGUACUCGAGUGGCGAACGGGUGAGUAACACGUGGGCAACCUGCCCUCAGCUUCGGGAUAACACUUGGAAACAGGUGCUAAUACCGGAUAAUAACUUUUUCAUCGCAUGGUGGAUGGUUCAAAGUUUUUCGGCUGAGGAUGGGCCCGCGGCCUAUCAGCUUGUUGGUGGGGUAAUGGCCUACCAAGGCGACGACGGGUA
rnacentral:rRNA from 1 species